CGUUAAUAAAAAAAUCCGGUGAAGAGAUUUUUGGUAUAGGUUUCAAACAGAAAUUGCAAGUAGUACGACUAUCAGCAAAUUACCCCAAGUAAUUUGUCUAUUCCAUCAGCUUAUUACCGCGAGUAAUUUGUCUAAGUUUAGUACGAAUCAAAUUAAAGUCUAGUACGAAUCAAAUUAAAGUAGUUUCAAAACAGCCCUCGGUUAAUUUGAAUUCGAGUUGCACUGAAGAAGCAGCGUGUAGCUUCGCAAAGCACACAUGCAUUCGAACAUACACACAUACUCUGUUGUCUGUGUACUAAUUAUAAAUCCCAAAAUUAAUGUUGCAAGUGCACCGCACAUGUAUUUAAUUGCACAGAAGUCUAUCGACAGAAUGUUUAAAUAGUGCCUCGUUCUCCGUAUGUGAUUGCAAUUACUGGUGGGAGCUAAUUUGAUCUUUGUUGCGUAUUUUGUUACAUGAUUUGAUGAAGAUUUCCUCUCCAAUGCACAGGAUGCCUGGCAGGAUAGAUCUUGAAACCACCGCACUUUGGCAUGGUUGUAUGCUAGAAUAUCCUUCUUGACCCUUGCUUCAGAUACAGUACAGCUAUUCUCACGGAUGUAAUUCAGGAUAGAAGGACGUUCAGGUUUGAGCAAAUAAAUACAAUCAGUAAACAUGAAAAGGAAGGCGACAGACACGUGAGAACUUGCAAUGACAGCUGAUAUUGAGAGCCGACUUCAAACCAGAUAAGACAACUCCUGUAGAAUCGGUGCACGGUGUGUUCGUGUGAGUUUCUGUGAACUGUGGUGUUCAUCAGCCGCUUAAUUCGCGAGACUCUUUGGCAUCGAUUUACGAAAACAGACCGCGCGUUUGAAGAACAUUCCUGAUGAACACAAUUUUUUUUGUAGACAUACCGGCGAUCAGAGAGGAUUUUUUUGUCAUCUUUCUGUCGAUCCAUCGCACGAUUCCAUAUUCGGAACCAUUUGCGGAUAGAAAGAAAGCGACCAGCUCACUUGACCAUGCCACUUCAUCUAAGGAAAGUUUUGUUUUAGAUUUUUGUUUUUUUUUUAACAACAAUCAGAUGUUACUCUGCGACCGAAUAUGUGUAAUAGGUAACAAUUUAAUGUAGCGAUUCAAACCAAGUCUGUCAGUUUCACAAUCAUUGACAGCAACUGCAAUAUUCAGUAAUGAGAUCAGUAGCUGAUCAAUUAGGCCCGUAAUAACAUACAACUCACUUAUAUAAGCAGAAUGAAUCGAAUGAACCGGUUUGGGUCUCAACAUAUAAACUAAAAUUACUUUACUUACAAAUCAACUUGUUGUUAAAUGAUCGCAUUAAUUAUUUGGAU